UAAAUACUCCCAUGAGACCGAUAGUGAACCAGUACCGUGAGGGAAAGGUGAAAAGAACCUCGAUGAGAGGAGUGCAAUAGAUCCUGAAACCAUACGCCUACAAGCGGUCGGAGCUGCUUUAUGCAGUGACGGCGUGCCUUUUGCAUAAUGAACCUACGAGUUACCGUCACCGGCAAGGUUAAGGAUAUUGAUAUCCGUCAACCGUAGUGAAAGCGAGCCUGAACAGGGCGUUUUAGUCGGUGGAGGUAGACGCGAAACCAAGUGAUCUACACAUGUCCAGGUUGAAGUCUCGGUAACACGAGAUGGAGGACCGCACCAAUAAGCGUUGAAAAGCUUCUGGAUGAGGUGUGUGUAGGAGUGAAAGGCCAAUCAAACUUGGAGAUAGCUCGUACUCCCCGAAAGGCAUUUAGGUGCCGCGUGCUAUGAUUUACAUAAGAGGUAGAGCGACCGAUAGGUCAAGAGGGCUUCACCGCCUAUCGCGACCUGACGAACUCCGAAUGCUUAUGUAUAGCAGUAGUGCAGUAAGGGGGCGGGUGCUAAGGUCCGUCCCCGAGAGGAGAAGAAUCCAGACCGCCGUCUAAGGUCCCUGAAUUCUGUCUAAGUUAGUCUAACGAAGUCCGGUCCCCGUGACAGCUAGGAUGUUGGCUUGGAAGCAGCCAUUCAUUCAAAGAGUGCGUAACAGCUCACUAGUCGAGGGUCUGGGCAUGGAUAAUAAUCGGGUAUAAGACAGAUACCGAAGGCGCGGGAUAGUAAUGAUAAAAGUAUCGGUAGGGGAGCAUUCUAUAUACGUUGAAUGGUUAAGGUAACUUUUCCUGGAGUGUAUAGAAAAGCAAAUGUAGGUAUAAGUAACGAUAAGAAGGGUAAGAUUCCCUUCCGCCGCAAGACUAAGGUUUCCCGGGCAAUGCCAAUCAUCCCGGGGUUAGUCGGGUCCUAAGUCUCAGCCGACAGGCGAGGGCGAUGGCAGACACGGUUAAUAUUCCGUGACUGCUGCAUGAUGCGAUUGUGGAGACGGAGAAGUGACACCACCGCGAGCUGACGGAAUAGCUCGUUGAAGAAAUUAGGCAUUGAUCAUGGUAGGCAAAUCCGCCAUGAGAGCUGAGUUUUGAAAGUAUGGCAUUCCCUUCGGGGAAAGCCAAUAGUGUGGGUAAUCCUGCUUCCAAGAAAAUCCGCUAAGCUUCAGUCAUGCAGCACCCGUACCGCAAACGGACACACGUAGUCGGGUUGAAUAUACUCAGGCGUUGAGAGAUUCAUGGUUAAGGAACUAGGCAAAUUAACCCCGUAACUUCGGGAAAAGGGGUCCUCGUUUACUUACGAGGCGCAGAGAAUAGGUCCAGGCAACUGUUUACCAAAAACACAGGGCUGUGCUAACUCGAAAGAUGAAGUAUACAGUCUGACACCUGCCCGGUGCUGGAAGGUUAAGAGGAGAGGUUAUACGCAAGUAGAAGCUUUGAAUUGAAGCCCCAGUAAACGGCGGCCGUAACUAUAACGGUCCUAAGGUAGCGAAAUUCCUUGUCGGGUAAGUUCCGACCUGCACGAAUGGUGUAAUGAUCUGGACACUGUCUCAAUCAUGAUCUCAGUGAAAUUGUAGUAUCGGUGAAGAUGCCGAUUACCCGCGAUGGGACGAAAAGACCCCGUGAACCUUUACUAUAGCUUAGCAUUGACCUUGGUCAUCCGAUGUGUAGGAUAGGCCGGAGGCUUAGAAGGAGGCGCGCCAGCGCUUUUGGAGCCAUCGUUGAAAUACGGCCCUUUGGCUGUCUGAGGUCUAACGCGCUUGAAGUGCGGACACUGCUUGGUGGGUAGUUUGACUGGGGUGGUCGCCUCCAAAAGCGUAACGGAGGCUUCCAAAGGUGCCCUCAGGUCGAUUGGUAACCGACCUUUUAGAGUGCAAUGGCAUAAGGGCGCUUGACUGGGAGGCAGACAUGCCGAGCAGGCAGGAAACUGGGGCAUAGUGAUCCGGUGCAUGUGUAUGGAAA
rnacentral:rRNA from 1 species